rnacentral:Y_RNA from 1 species
GGCUGGUCUGAUGGUAGUGGGUUAUUAGAAUUUAAUAACACUAGUGUCACUAAAGUUGGUAUACAACCCCCCCACUGCUAAAUUUGACUGGCUUAAA